GCUAUUGCUUUGUGAGAGGGGGAACUUAAAUCGACAUAACACCAGCACCUGACGCAGGGGAAACAAAUUCUACCAGGGAUAACGAUUGCUACAACACCUGCAUGGCGCCUUUAUAGGGCACAUGGUGUCACGGUCUGAGGUGUAUCCCUGCUGUCACUCUCUGUCUCUUGAGUUUUCCCUCUGCAGGUGGGCGUGUCUGGAGGUUGACCAAGCUGCAGCAGAUCUGCUCAUCAGCCAGCCAGGUGUAUUUAAGCAGCUGGGAGACUUCUACACUUCGCUGGAUGAUUACUCUACCUGGGUACCUUCUAAGCCACCUCAUAGUAUUAUAUUCGAGCUCGUUGGACCUUUUGAGAUUUUAGAUGUGUUUUGGAUUUUGGAUUCUGCAUUUACCCUUCCUGCUCUCGUUCACCAGAUAAAACCUCCACCUUCAUCUCUGACUGGCUGAACUCUGGAACUCCAACCUGCUUGUCUCUCAGCCGCUCCCUGGCCAGAACCACCUCCAGCUGCCCACCUAAGCUUCCUGGAUCUCCACAAACUCAGCUCCCUCCACGUCUCACCUUUUGGAUCUCAGUUCCAGGAAAACCCCCUCAGCCCAGACCGGACCACUCCUGCCUCGAGUUAGUUCCCUCCUCUCCAGACUAUUUCCCGCACAGACUGCCUUGUGAAAGAACUCCGCUUUGUUUAUGCUGCUUCCUUGGUUUCCCUUUUAAUAAAUUCUUAUUUAAACACUUUA